UACGUAGGGUGCGAGCGUUAAUCGGAAUUACUGGGCGUAAAGCGUGCGCAGGCGGUUAUUUAAGUCCGGUGUGAAAGCCCUGGGCUUAACCUAGGAAUUGCGCUUGAGACUGGAUAGCUUGGAGUGCGGCAGAGGGAGGUGGAAUUCCACGUGUAGCAGUGAAAUGCGUAGAGAUGUGGAGGAACACCGAUGGCGAAGGCAGCCUCCUGGGCCAGCACUGACGCUCAUGCACGAAAGCGUGGGGAGCAAACAGG
rnacentral:rRNA from 1 species